rnacentral:rRNA from 1 species
AUUGAACGCUGGCGGCAUGCCUUACACAUGCAAGUCGAACGGUAACAGGUCUUCGGAUGCUGACGAGUGGCGAACGGGUGAGUAAUACAUCGGAACGUGCCCGAGAGUGGGGGAUAACGGAGCGAAAGCUUUGCUAAUACCGCAUACGAUCUACGGAUGAAAGCAGGGGACCGCAAGGCCUUGCGCUCAUGGAGCGGCCGAUGGCAGAUUAGGUAGUUGGUGGGAUAAAAGCUUACCAAGCCGACGAUCUGUAGCUGGUCUGAGAGGACGACCAGCCACACUGGGACUGAGACACGGCCCAGACUCCUACGGGAGGCAGCAGUGGGGAAUUUUGGACAAUGGGCGCAAGCCUGAUCCAGCCAUGCCGCGUGCAGGAUGAAGGCCUUCGGGUUGUAAACUGCUUUUGUACGGAACGAAAAGACUCUGGUUAAUACCUGGGGUCCAUGACGGUACCGUAAGAAUAAGCACCGGCUAA